AUAAACAGAGUGCACACUCACUCAUUACCACGACGAAGGUACCACGCCAUUCACAAGGGAUCCACCCUCAAGACCCAAACACCUCCCACCGGGCCCCACUGCCAACACUGGGAAUCAAAUGUCAGCGUGAGAUUUGGAGAGAUCAAACAUCCAAACUUACCGAGACUGUACAUCACUGUGGCCAGGAGAAUAAGAUGAAAAUAGGAGGAAAUGGUCCAAAGUUGAACCCAGGGCCAGAGGAGGCCACUAAGGACACUGAGAGGCCACCACACCCUGAGUUUGGAGUAUGUUAAAUCAGUUCAACAAACA
rnacentral:lncRNA from 1 species